UACGGAGGGUGCGAGCGUUGUCCGGAAUCACUGGGCGUAAAGGGCGCGUAGGCGGCCCGUCAAGCGUGUGGUGAAAGCCCGGGGCUCAACCCCGGGUCGGCCGUGCGGACUGGCGGGCUCGAGCACUGUAGGGGCGGGUGGAAUUCCGGGUGUAGCGGUGGAAUGCGUAGAGAUCCGGAAGAACAUCGGUGGCGAAGGCGGCCUGCUGGGCAGUGGCUGACGCUGAGGCGCGACAGCGUGGGGAGCAAACAGG
rnacentral:rRNA from 1 species